AGCAGUCGCCGCGGGAACACGAGGGGGGCAAGCGUUGUUCGGAAUUAUUGGGCGUAAAGGGUGCGUAGGCGGGCGAAUAAGUCAGGGGUGAAAUCCCAAGGCUCAACCUUGGAACUGCCUUUGAUACUGUUUGUCUUGAGUUCGAGAGAGGUAAGUGGAACUGCGAGUGUAGAGGUGAAAUUCGUAGAUAUUCGCAAGAACACCAGUGGCGAAGGCGGCUUACUGGCUCGAAACUGACGCUGAGGCGCGAAAGCGUGGGGAGCAAACAGGAUUAGAGACCCCGGUAGUCCCUGUCUCUUAUAC
rnacentral:rRNA from 1 species